AUUUUCUCACUGUAAGAAGAGAAACACAGUGACUGCCUGGUCUCUGAAUGAGAUGCAUCAUUAUUGUUAAAAUAGUCCAAGAAGUGGGAAGGAAAUAUUUCUUUCAGAAGAAGGAUUGAGACAUUAAAUCUAAUUCAGCUGUCAUUUUUACUUGGACAAAAUAAGAAAUUGAUGUUGACCUCUACUUUGAAGAAGUGGCUUAAAUACUUGUCACUGAUCUGUGUAAUAUUUGAUAAAGGUAAAAUAUAAUUGAAGAAAUAUCUUUGGCUUGGUAGAUGGACAUUGCACCA